GCUGGAGAACACACACACACACACAAUUAGGUUAAUGUGAAUGUGAUCUCUAUCAUACUGAACAUGGUGAUAUUUGGUCAUUCAUUGUAACGGCUGUACAGCAGAUGCAGUAGUUUAUCUGCACAUCAUACAACAGAACACAAUUCUGAUAAAGUCAUCCAACCAAACUGCAGCUGAAUAUAAUCUCCAUCUGAUUCCACAAGUAAAAUCCACACAAUAACUCUGUAGUAGUGUGAGAAUGACAGUAAGAUUGGGGAAAUGUGGUAAAGGUGUUUCCAUACUUAGAGGACACUUUGCAUUGGCAGCACAUGCUUCAGUGAUCUGGGAGUGUUUAUAGUGCUGUGACUUUAACACUUCAUGACUGAGAGCUGCUGCUACAGCAACUUCACCCACAGCUACCAUGACUUUGAUCCCCGUCUUCAUCUGGACACUGAUCCUCUGGACUCAAGAAUGCAGAGGUCAAGUCACAGUAACUCAGACUCCUGCAGUGAAAUCUGUUCUUCCAGGAGAAACAGUCACCAUCAACUGUAAAACCAGUCAGGCAGUGCAUGGUGGUAACUACUUAUUCUGGUAUCAGCAGAAACCUGGAGAAGCUCCUAAAUUCUUGAUUAAGCUCGCAAAUCAGAGACAGUCAGAUUUUCCAGCUCGUUUCAGUGGCAGUGGAUCUGGAUCUGAUUUCACUCUGACCAUCAGUGGAGUCCAGACUGAAGAUGCAGGAGAUUACUACUGUCAGAGUUACCAUUCAAUCACUGGCUACUGGUUCACACAGUGUUAUAGAGUCGUACAAAAACCUCCCUCAGUCAGAUUGUAGAGAGACUGAACUGCUGCAGCUGGGAGCGACUGCAGGUGCUGAGUUGGAGGAUGUGAUACGACACAAUGACACUCUGUGGAGGAGAAGAACCACAUCACACUAACUCACAACUCACAUUAGAGAUCUCUCAAUAAUCAUGAAUAUAUGAAAGCUGAGUAUUUAUUUUGUUUUUUUCCAUCAAAUACAUUCAAAGCAGACAGAUUUAUGAUUAGAACUGAAGGUCUUUAUCAGUCUUUUGACACAAUAGUUUUUUCAUUUUUCUGAAAAAAAUCUUGAUCACAGGUCUGAUAUAUCUGUCUUAGACCAAACCAAACCAAAUGAAUACAAGAUUGAUCUUUUUCUUCUUUCGGCUUUUCCCUUCAGGGGUCGCCACAG